CCUACGGGAGGCAGCAGUGGGGAAUAUUGCACAAUGGGGGAAACCCUGAUGCAGCGACGCCGCGUGAGUGAAGAAGUAAUUCGUUAUGUACAGCUCUAUCAGCAGGGAAGAAAAUGACGGUACCUGAGUAAGAAGCCCCGGCUAACUACGUGCCCGCAGCCGCUGUAAUACGUAGGGGGCAAGCGUUCUCCGGAUUUACUGGGUGUAAAGGGUGCGUAGACGGCAGUGCAAGUCUGGAGUGAAAGGCCGGGGCUCAACCCCCGGACUGCUCUUGAAACUGUACGGCUGGAGUGCAGGAGAGGUAAGUGGAAUUCCUAGUGUAGCGGUGAAAUGCGGAGAUAUUAGGAGGAACACCAGUGGCGAAGGCGGCUUACUGGACUGUAACUGACGUUGAGGCUCGAAAGCGUGGGGAGCAAACAGGAUUAGAUACCCGGGUAGUC
rnacentral:rRNA from 1 species